rnacentral:rRNA from 1 species
UAAGUUUGAUUCUAACUUCCCAAUUUUCUAAGCCAUAAAAACACACAUGCAAGCUCCCCGUCCCCGUAAACUAAAUACCCAUUAAACACCCUCUCCCCGUUAUAACAAAAAUGUAUAAAAAUAAAUAAACAUUUACGUCUGCAGUGAUUAAACCUUAACCAUAAUGAAAGUUAGUUUAGGCUAAUGGCUUCAUAGGUUGACCAAAUCAGUGCCAGCCGUCGCGGUUAAACUGAAAACCUAGAAAAUACCCCCAGGGCCGUGAUAUUAAGGAAUAAAGAUUAAAAAUAAAAUUCUACGAAGUUUAAUUCCAUCUUAUACAUUAACCUCUUUAAUCCAUCUAAAUCAUCAUCACCAAAGUUUAAACCCAAACAAGGAUUAGAUACCCUUUUAUCCUAAACCUCAACUACCCAGGGUACUACGAGUUCAUACUUAAAACCCAAAGAUCUUGGCGGUGCUUCAAGCCAACCAGGGGAACCUGUAACUUAAUUUGAUAGCCCACGAUUUGCUCUACCUAAUUUAGUACACAGCUUGUAUAUUGCCGUCGUCAGCUUACCUCGAAAGAGGGAGUAAGCCCCUAAGACUACUCUAUCUCCCACGUCAGGUCAAAAUGCAGCCAACAAUUAGGCGAACUAUGGGUUACAACCUCUAUCCAAGAAACGGAACUUAAAAAUAAAAAAUUUUAAGUCAAGGAGGACUUGAAAGUAAACCGAUAUUCCACGAAUGAAUUAAGGCAAUCUGAAGCGUGUACACAUCGCCCGUCACUCUCGCCGAAAGGUGAGAUAAGUCGUAACACAGUAGAUGUAACGGAAGUUGCACCUU